AGCUCCGCAUUCGCCCGCGGGGAGCCGGGUGCCGCUGUGCUGUCGCGGAGCCGGGAACGUGGCACAGCCGGGACGGGUGUGAGCUCAGGGCGUCUCUGCAGGCAAGCCGGGAGAUCCGGAGAGGAAGCUGGGGGCGGCGUGCUUAGGGACUGGGCGGGAGCGGCUGGAGCCGGGUGGCGCGGGUCCCGGGUGGGCGCGGUGCGGAGGCUGAGGACCCGGCCCGGUGGGACGGAGCCGAGGGGGACGGGGUCCCGGCUGCAGGCACAGACGGGACACGGGGGCUGACUGCGGCGUGGCGGGUUUCCUCCUCAGCCCAACAGGUAGGCGGGGUCGGCAGCUGCGGGGCUGGGACGCGGGAGGGGAAAGUCGGGGACCCGGUCGCCUGCCCCGCGGCUGGGGACCCGCCCUGCACCUCCAGGUCGGCCCCCAGCAGCAGAGAGUGGACGUUGCCAGAAGUUUCCAGGUCUUCUUAAGAAGGAAAGCCUUCGCCAGGGGCGUUUGCGGAGUCGGUGGAAACGUUUGUUUUUUAUUUUCCUUUAUUUGCUUAUUUCACGCCAGCAAGAAAGAGAUCAUCUCAAAUGAUUGCAAAUCGUUUGCAAAUCGUUAGAAACUUCGUAAAGCACCUAAUGGAACUUAGUAACCGUAACGUGUACCUCUGACAAGUUAAGGGAAUUUGAACUCUCAGGUCAGACAAAUUAGAUGGUUUGUAGUCUUUUGGGUUGUGCGUGGUUUAUAAGAAUGCUAGUCACCCUAAAGGAACUAAAGAGCUUAGAGAUAAGGAGAAGUUUAAGGAAGUAAAAAAAAAAAAAAGCCCUAUAACAGUUCAGGACUUUGAAAAACAAUGCUGGGAGAUUAACUUAAGUUAACCCUAAUGCAAGGUUGCCUGGUUUUAUUUCGCAAACAUCUUAGAGACAAUGUCUGAGGAUGAGGUUUGAUUAUUUAUUUGAGACGGUCUCAAACCUGCCUCUGCCUUCAGAGUGUUGGAAUUUAAGGGGUGCACUAAUACACAGAGGCAAAGAAUGAGAUUUUAGAUAAGCAUCCAAAAACGAAUAAAGCCAGGCUUAACGUUGCACAUCUGUAGUUCUAGUAUUUAGGAUGUUGAGGCAGAAAAGGGGAGCGUUCCCAGCCAACCUAGGCUUAGGUAGAGAGAGCCACAUCAGCUAACUCACUUUC
rnacentral:lncRNA from 1 species